ACGAACGCUGGCGGCGUGCCUAACACAUGCAAGUCGAACGAGAAAGGGGCUUCGGCCCUGAGUAAAGUGGCGCACGGGUGUGUAAUACUUAGGAAUCUGGCUAUUAGUGGGGGACAACAUUUCGAAAGGGAUGCUAAUACCGCAUACGUCCUACGGGAGAAAGCAGGGGAUCUUCGGACCUUGCGCUAAUAGAUGAGCCUAAGUCGGAUUAGCUAGUUGGUGGGGUAAAGGCCUACCAAGGCGACGAUCUGUAGCGGGUCUGAGAGGAUGAUCCGCCACACUGGGACUGAGACACGGCCCAGACUCCUACGGGAGGCAGCAGUGGGGAAUAUUGGACAAUGGGGGGAACCCUGAUCCAGCCAUGCCGCGUGUGUGAAGAAGGCCUUAUGGUUGUAAAGCACUUUAAGCGAGGAGGAGGGUACUGGUAUUAAUACUACCAGGUACUGGACGUUACUCGCAGAAUAAGCACCGGCUAACUCUGU
rnacentral:rRNA from 1 species